GAUUAAGCCAUGCAUGUGUAAGUGUAAAUUGUUAAGUUUGGAACUGCGAAUGGCUCAUUAUAUCAGUUAUAGUUUAUUUGGUGAAGUGUACUACUUGGAUAACCGUAGUAAUUCUAGGGCUAAUACAUGAGAAAGUCCCCUGGUGAGGUGUGUUUAUUAGAAUGAAAACCAUAUGCUUCGGCAUGAUAGUGAGUAAUAGUAACCUAUCGUAUCGCAUGCUUAAUGUAGCGAUGAGUCUUUCAAGUUUCUGCCCUAUCAGCUUUCGAUGGUAGUAUAUGGGCCUACCAUG
rnacentral:rRNA from 1 species